AACGAACGCUGGCGGCAGGCCUAACACAUGCAAGUCGAACGCCCUAGCAAUAGGGAGUGGCAGACGGGUGAGUAACACGUGGGAACGUGCCCUUCGGUUCGGACUAACUCAGGGAAACUUGAGCUAAUACCGGAUACGUGCGAGAGCAGAAAGAUUUAUCGCCGGAGGAUCGGCCCGCGUCCGAUUAGCUAGUUGGUGAGGUACUUGCUCACCAAGGCGACGAUCGGUAGCUGGUCUGAAAGGGUGACCAGCCACACCGGGACUGAGACACGGCCCAGACUCCUACGGGAGGCAGCAGUGGGGAAUAUUGGACAAUGGGCGCAAGCCUGAUCCAGCCAUGCCGCGUGAGUGAUGAAGGCCCUAGGGUUGUAAAGCUCUUUCGCCAGGGACGAUAAUGACGGUACCUGGAUAAGAAGCCCCGGCUAACUUCGUGCCAGCCGCCGCGGUAA
rnacentral:rRNA from 1 species